rnacentral:rRNA from 1 species
AGGACGAACGCUGGCGGCGUGCUUAACACAUGCAAGUCGAACGGAAAGGCCCUUUCGGGGGUACUCGAGUGGCGAACGGGUGAGUAACACGUGGGUGAUCUGCCCUGCACUUCGGGAUAAGCUUGGGAAACUGGGUCUAAUACCGGAUAGGACUACGGACUGCAUGGUCUGUGGUGGAAAGCUUUUGCGGUGUGGGAUGGGCCCGCGGCCUAUCAGCUUGUUGGUGGGGUGAUGGCCUACCAAGGCGACGACGGGUAGCCGGCCUGAGAGGGUGUCCGGCCACACUGGGACUGAGAUACGGCCCAGACUCCUACGGGAGGCAGCAGUGGGGAAUAUUGCGCAAUGGGCGAAAGCCUGACGCAGCGACGCCGCGUGAGGGGUGAAGGCCUUCGGGUUGUAAACCUCUUUCAGCAGGGACGAAGCGAAAGUGACGGUACCUGCAGAAGAAGCACCGGCUAACUACGUGCCAGCAGCCGC